ensembl:snRNA U6 U6 spliceosomal RNA
UUGCUUCGGCAGCAACAUAUACUAAAAUACAGAGAUACAGAGUAGAUUAGCAUGGCCCCUGCGCAAGAAUUACACGCAAAUUCAUAAAUGUAACUAAGCUUCA